GGUUAAGCGACUAAGCGUACACGGUGGAUGCCCUGGCAGUCAGAGGCGAUGAAGGACGUGCUAAUCUGCGAUAAGCGUCGGUAAGGUGAUAUGAACCGUUAUAACCGGCGAUUUCCGAAUGGGGAAACCCAGUGUGAUUCGUCACACUAUCAUUAACUGAAUCCAUAGGUUAAUGAGGCGAACCGGGGGAACUGAAACAUCUAAGUACCCCGAGGAAAAGAAAUCAACCGAGAUUCCCCCAGUAGCGGCGAGCGAACGGGGAGGAGCCCAGAGCCUGAAUCAGUGUGUGUGUUAGUGGAAGCGUCUGGAAAGGCGCGCGAUACAGGGUGACAGCCCCGUACACAAAAAUGCACAUGCUGUGAGCUCGAUGAGUAGGGCGGGACACGUGGUAUCCUGUCUGAAUAUGGGGGGACCAUCCUCCAAGGCUAAAUACUCCUGACUGACCGAUAGUGAACCAGUACCGUGAGGGAAAGGCGAAAAGAACCCCGGCGAGGGGAGUGAAAAAGAACCUGAAACCGUGUACGUACAAGCAGUGGGAGCACGCUUAGGCGUGUGACUGCGUACCUUUUGUAUAAUGGGUCAGCGACUUAUAUUCUGUAGCAAGGUUAACCGAAUAGGGGAGCCGAAGGGAAACCGAGUCUUAACUGGGCGUUAAGUUGCAGGGUAUAGACCCGAAACCCGGUGAUCUAGCCAUGGGCAGGUUGAAGGUUGGGUAACACUAACUGGAGGACCGAACCGACUAAUGUUGAAAAAUUAGCGGAUGACUUGUGGCUGGGGGUGAAAGGCCAAUCAAACCGGGAGAUAGCUGGUUCUCCCCGAAAGCUAUUUAGGUAGCGCCUCGUGAAUUCAUCUCCGGGGGUAGAGCACUGUUUCGGCAAGGGGGUCAUCCCGACUUACCAACCCGAUGCAAACUGCGAAUACCGGAGAAUGUUAUCACGGGAGACACACGGCGGGUGCUAACGUCCGUCGUGAAGAGGGAAACAACCCAGACCGCCAGCUAAGGUCCCAAAGUCAUGGUUAAGUGGGAAACGAUGUGGGAAGGCCCAGACAGCCAGGAUGUUGGCUUAGAAGCAGCCAUCAUUUAAAGAAAGCGUAAUAGCUCACUGGUCGAGUCGGCCUGCGCGGAAGAUGUAACGGGGCUAAACCAUGCACCGAAGCUGCGGCAGCGACGCUGAUGCGUUGUUGGGUAGGGGAGCGUUCUGUAAGCCUGCGAAGGUGUGCUGUGAGGCAUGCUGGAGGUAUCAGAAGUGCGAAUGCUGACAUAAGUAACGAUAAAGCGGGUGAAAAGCCCGCUCGCCGGAAGACCAAGGGUUCCUGUCCAACGUUAAUCGGGGCAGGGUGAGUCGACCCCUAAGGCGAGGCCGAAAGGCGUAGUCGAUGGGAAACAGGUUAAUAUUCCUGUACUUGGUGUUACUGCGAAGGGGGGACGGAGAAGGCUAUGUUGGCCGGGCGACGGUUGUCCCGGUUUAAGCGUGUAGGCUGGUUUUCCAGGCAAAUCCGGAAAAUCAAGGCUGAGGCGUGAUGACGAGGCACUACGGUGCUGAAGCAACAAAUGCCCUGCUUCCAGGAAAAGCCUCUAAGCAUCAGGUAACAUCAAAUCGUACCCCAAACCGACACAGGUGGUCAGGUAGAGAAUACCAAGGCGCUUGAGAGAACUCGGGUGAAGGAACUAGGCAAAAUGGUGCCGUAACUUCGGGAGAAGGCACGCUGAUAUGUAGGUGAAGUCCCUCGCGGAUGGAGCUGAAAUCAGUCGAAGAUACCAGCUGGCUGCAACUGUUUAUUAAAAACACAGCACUGUGCAAACACGAAAGUGGACGUAUACGGUGUGACGCCUGCCCGGUGCCGGAAGGUUAAUUGAUGGGGUCAGCGCAAGCGAAGCUCUUGAUCGAAGCCCCGGUAAACGGCGGCCGUAACUAUAACGGUCCUAAGGUAGCGAAAUUCCUUGUCGGGUAAGUUCCGACCUGCACGAAUGGCGUAAUGAUGGCCAGGCUGUCUCCACCCGAGACUCAGUGAAAUUGAACUCGCUGUGAAGAUGCAGUGUACCCGCGGCAAGACGGAAAGACCCCGUGAACCUUUACUAUAGCUUGACACUGAACAUUGAGCCUUGAUGUGUAGGAUAGGUGGGAGGCUUUGAAGUGUGGACGCCAGUCUGCAUGGAGCCGACCUUGAAAUACCACCCUUUAAUGUUUGAUGUUCUAACGUUGACCCGUGAUCCGGGUUGCGGACAGUGUCUGGUGGGUAGUUUGACUGGGGCGGUCUCCUCCUAAAGAGUAACGGAGGAGCACGAAGGUUGGCUAAUCCUGGUCGGACAUCAGGAGGUUAGUGCAAUGGCAUAAGCCAGCUUGACUGCGAGCGUGACGGCGCGAGCAGGUGCGAAAGCAGGUCAUAGUGAUCCGGUGGUUCUGAAUGGAAGGGCCAUCGCUCAACGGAUAAAAGGUACUCCGGGGAUAACAGGCUGAUACCGCCCAAGAGUUCAUAUCGACGGCGGUGUUUGGCACCUCGAUGUCGGCUCAUCACAUCCUGGGGCUGAAGUAGGUCCCAAGGGUAUGGCUGUUCGCCAUUUAAAGUGGUACGCGAGCUGGGUUUAGAACGUCGUGAGACAGUUCGGUCCCUAUCUGCCGUGGGCGCUGGAGAAUUGAGGGGGGCUGCUCCUAGUACGAGAGGACCGGAGUGGACGCAUCACUGGUGUUCGGGUUGUCAUGCCAAUGGCACUGCCCGGUAGCUAAAUGCGGAAGAGAUAAGUGCUGAAAGCAUCUAAGCACGAAACUUGCCCCGAGAUGAGUUCUCCCUGACUCCUUGAGAGUCCUGAAGGAACGUUGAAGACGACGACGUUGAUAGGCCGGGUGUGUAAGCGCAGCGAUGCGUUGAGCUAACCGGUACUAAUGAACCGUGAGGCUUAACCUU
rnacentral:rRNA from 1 species